rnacentral:rRNA from 1 species
GGCGGACGGGUGAGUAACGCGUAGGACUCUACCUAGUAGUGGGGGACAACUCGAGGAAACUCGAGCUAAUACCGCAUACGCUCUUAGGAGGAAAGUGGGGGAUCUUCGGACCUCACGCUAUUAGAGGAGCCUGCGUUAGAUUAGCUUGUUGGUGAGGUAAAGGCUCACCAAGGCGACGAUCUAUAGCUGGUCUGAGAGGACGAUCAGCCACACUGGAACUGAGACACGGUCCAGACUCCUACGGGAGGCAGCAGUAGGGAAUCUUGGGCAAUGGGCGAAAGCCUGACCCAGCGAUGCCGCGUGUGCGAAGAAGGCCUUAGGGUUGUAAAGCACUUUCAGUCGUGAAGAAAAGCUACGAUUUAAUAUGUCGUGGUCUUGACGUUAGCGACAGAAGAAGUACCGGCUAACUCCGUGCCAGCAGCCGCGGUAAUACGGAGGGUACGAACGUUAAUCGGAAUUACUGGGCGUAAAGCGCGCGUAGGCGGUUUGAUAAGUGGGAUGUGAAAGCCCCGGGCUCAACCUGGGAACUGCAUUCCAAACUGUCAAACUAGAGUGUGGUAGAGGGCGGUAGAAUUUCCUGUGUAGCGGUGAAAUGCGUAGAUAUAGGAAGGAAUCACCCGAUGGCGAAGGCAGCCGCCUGGACCAACACUGA